rnacentral:rRNA from 1 species
CGUGUAGGCGGGAGUGCAAGUCAGAUGUGAAAACUAUGGGCUCAACCCAUAGCCUGCAUUUGAAACUGUACUUCUUGAGUACUGGAGAGGCAGGCGGAAUUCCGUGUGUAGCGGUGAAAUGCGUAGAUAUACGGAGGAACACCAGUGGCGAAGGCGGCCUGCUGGACAGCAACUGACGCUGAGGCGCGAAGCGUGGGAGCAAACA